GAACAGCUCUGACCUGUAUGGUGAUCAGCACUGGAGAGGAGAGACACCUGGUCCAACAAGGUGAUGGACGGUUGAAAGGACGAAUCACCAAGACGAACAAGACGAGCCGACCAAUGAAGACGAGCUGCCACAGGAACCUGAAGGGAAAGUGUUGUGCUUGAGGAGACAGAAGAGGGACGGGGCUUUAGGAGCUUGGAUUCAGCGCUGGACGACGGCCACUCACCCUCACCAGGCUCCUAGUGAUCUUCAUGACGCACCCAUCCCUCAUCAUCCUCGCUGCCA